ACGAGCCGUCCAAACGUUAUUCGGAAUUACUGGGCUUAAAGGGUACGUAGGCGGCGCUGUUAGUCGGGUGUGAAAGCCCUCGGCUCAACCGAGGAAUUGCGCCCGAUACUGCAGUGCUUGAGGGAGACAGAGGUAAGCGGAACUGAUGGUGGAGCGGUGAAAUGCGUUGAUAUCAUCAGGAACACCGGUGGCGAAAGCGGCUUACUGGGUCUCUUCUGACGCUGAGGUACGAAAGCUAGGGGAGCGAAGGGGA
rnacentral:rRNA from 1 species